GGUAAAAUGGCUGAGUGUAGGCGGUAAAUUGUAAAUUUACAGACGAAGAUAUUUCUUUUAUCA
rnacentral:tRNA from 1 species